GACGUAGGGGGCGAGCGUUGUCCGGAUUCAUUGGGCGUAAAGAGCGCGUAGGCGGCCCGGAAAGUGGGGUGUGAAAACUCGAGGCUCAACCUCGAGACGCCGAUGGAAACCGUCUGGCUAGAGUCCGGAAGAGGAGAGUGGAAUUCCUGGUGUAGCGGUGAAAUGCGCAGAUAUCAGGAAGAACACCCGUGGCUAAGGCGGCUCUCUAGUACGGUACUGACGCUGAGACGCGAAAAGCGUGGGGAGCGAACAGG
rnacentral:rRNA from 1 species